AUGACCAGUAAUUGCAAAGGUGUUAGAGAGGGAAGCCUGGACUUUGGGAUUAUUGAAAUGAAUAACUGUCCCAUCAUCUUUAAUCAUGUUCACCUCUUCAAUACCAUCUAUAUUAUUUACUGCCAGCUUUUUCAGAGAACUCUGAAGCUUUUUGUCAUCAGCUGUAGCUGUUCUGUGUACCACCUUCUUCUUUCUGCGAGCUGUACCCUGAAGCAGGGAGGGUCCUCUAACACCAGCACGCGGCAAGAGCAAGAUGGCUACCUCGGCCGGGACAGAGAAAGAUGGCGGCGGCAGUGGCUGCGGCGGCGGGCGCGAGGCCCACCGGGACUCCAAAAGCAAACUUUUCCCAAGAAAAGUUGCUAAAACUGAUACAAAAUUAUCAAAUCACUAAUUUGGACCAAAUUACCUCAACCUCAAAUCCUCCUUAAAUUCAAAGAAAUGUGAAUUGUAUUUCGCAUAAAAUUCUGAAAUCAAAACAAUUGGCCUAGCAAUUGUGCCCUCAUUCACAUUCACCCAAGGACAUGUAUCAGAAGUCAAUGUUUGUACUAGCCAAAAAAUAUUAACAACCCAUGUGGACAUCAAGAGAGGAACAGAGGAACAGCCAGGUGUGGGGGUGCAUGCCUGUAGCCUCAGCUACUCAGGAGACUGAGACUGGAGGAUCAUUGGAGCUUAGGAGUUUGAAACCAGCCUGAGCAACAUAGUGAGACUUUAUUUCAAAAAAAGAGAGAGAAGACUAGAUAAUUAAGCUGCACGGUAGUGAUAUCAUGGAAUAGUAUACAGAACUGACAUGGGUCAGUGACCAACACUAUGUUAAAAGUAAGUAUCAAGAAAAAACCAAUUUUUUUCGAGACCGUACUUCAGGCUGGCUUUGAACUCGCUAUGUGGCCCAGACUGGCCUCAAACCCACAGCGAUCCUCCUCAGUGCCUGAGUGCUGGGAUUACAAGUGUACACCACCAUACCUGGCCUAUGUCAUUUUUACAAGUGUCAAAUAUGAAAAAUUCAACCACAUAAUGACAAAUACAAAUUUCAAAACUGGUUUUACAAAAAAUCAAGAGAAUAAUAAACAACAUUUUGUCAUGGGUAUUUGGGCAAUGGGGAGAGGUAAUCUAAAUUGGUAAAGGAUACACAGGGACUCUAAUAUAUCAGUCACAUUUUGUUUUUCAAACUGUAUCAUAG
rnacentral:lncRNA from 1 species